CUUCAGUAUCAAAUUUCAUGAUGAGAUUAAGGGAAUUCAUCAAAAUAUAUUCAGUAAAAGUAACAAUCAGAGCAGAGAGUGAAGCAAGAUCAUAACAGGCAAGCAUAAAACAUCAAGAUUGCCAAAUAAAAACAUAACAAAAAAAAGAAGAAAGAUAAAUAGCAUUCGAAGCAUUUGAGUUAAUUAUAUAUAUAUAUAUAUAUAUAUAUAUACAAAAAGAUCCCUUUAUUUGCAGUACAUCUUGCACUUAUUUAUCAUCACAGUAAAGAAUCGUCUGGGAUCGCAUCCUCUUCAAAUUUUCAAAUUUCACACUCGUUACGCUCCACCGCCGCCGCGAGGCGGCGGGGGGUCGGCGAAGCCCAUUCCGCCAGCGCGACCUCUACCGACGCCCGCAAAUCUGAAGCCUCGCCCGUUCCAGCCCCUUCCUCCUCCACCUCCGCAGCCGCGGCCGAAAGCGAACCCAAACCCUCUGUUUCCGCCACCGCCGCCGCAGCCGCCCAUACCGCCGCCUCGGCCGCUGACGGGGUUGGCUCUCCAUCCAAACCCGCAGGCGCCGUUUCCGGGAGGCCCGGCGGCGGAUCCGGGUCGGAAGCCAAAACCGACGUGUCCUCGAGGCGCAGAGCCGAAGCCCCGGCAGCAGUCACGCCCCCAUCCUCUCCGGCCCCCGCCUCCGACGUGGCCCGAUCCCCAACGGAAGUGCCAUCCGCCGGGGUUGUGGCCCCGACACCAACCCCCUCCACGGCAGCCAGCCCUGCACGCCAUCUUCGCGGGGUUCCGUUCCGUCCCUACGAUUUAUAAGAUAUUCCGAAAUAUAAGAUGUAACAUGGUUUGGGCUUCAUGAUUGUACGCUUGGAAUUGAAGAUCAGCAACACUCGUGAGUGCAAACAGUGGCUGCAGAAACUUCCAAUGAAGAUCUUGGCAGAUGGGAGGGGAGUAGGAAUUGUGGGAUGCAUCAUGUUUGGACAUUUAAUCAAAAGGAAUGUGGAUGUCAAAGGCCUUUAAAAGGGUGACAGACUGACGGACGAUUUCCAUUGAAACAAAAAACAGCAGCAUGCAGACACACGAAUGAGCGAACAAGACCCAGAAACUAUGAGAACAUGGGAAAAGUAGGAAGCAAUUCCAACCACUGUACCAAAUAUUUCCUGUUUUCUCAUAAUAUCUACCAAUGUUCUUCAGAAAUCUGCUAAUGAGCUGAUGGGAGUUGGGAUUUACUUGCAAUCAAUGAGCUGCCAAGCAUAACCCCAAAAUCGGGAAUUAUAUCACCAAUCACAAACAAGAAUCAGCAUGUGGCAGAAUCACACCAAAUACCACACUUAGAUUCUUCGGAUGGAAAAUCUAAACAGCUCUGUUCAUAGAAAUCAAAAUCAUAAAUAGUUGUUGUUUACGAUCUGUUGCAAUCUCACAAACAGGACUUUUUGUAUGCCUACUUGUCUACAAGACACUACAUUUACAGCUAACAAAGUAAAUCCAUUACAAGAGAAGGGUGCCAAAAAAAAAAAAAAAGUUGAUUCCUUCAUUUAUCAGACAAAAGAUUACAUUUCAGUUCUGCAAUAUAGCUUCCCUUUAGUUGCCAAUUUUGGAGAUCUAAUUAAACAAAUUAUGAAAUGUGAAAAUAUGCCAAUGCCUGUCAUCUACAGAUAUAACCGAA